rnacentral:rRNA from 1 species
AUGGUAUCAGUGGUAGGGGAGCGUUCUAAGUGCAGUGAAGUCAGACCGGAAGGACUGGUGGAGCGCUUAGAAGUGAGAAUGCCGGUAUGAGUAGCGAAAGACGGGUGAGAAUCCCGUCCACCGAAUGCCUAAGGUUUCCUGAGGAAGGCUCGUCCGCUCAGGGUUAGUCAGGACCUAAGCCGAGGCCGACAGGCGUAGGCGAUGGACAACAGGUUGAUAUUCCUGUACCACCUCUUUAUCGUUUGAGCAAUGGAGGGACGCAGAAGGAUAGAAGAAGCGUGCGAUUGGUUGUGCACGUCCAAGCAGUUAGGCUGAUAAGUAGGCAAAUCCGCUUAUCGUGAAGGCUGAGCUGUGAUGGGGAAGCUCCUUAUGGAGCGAAGUCUUUGAUUCCCCGCUGCCAAGAAAAGCUUCUAGCGAGAUAAAAGGUGCCUGUACCGCAAACCGACACAGGUAGGCGAGGAGAGAAUCCUAAGGUGUGCGAGAGAACUCUGGUUAAGGAACUCGGCAAAAUGACCCCGUAACUUCGGGAGAAGGGGUGCUUUCUUAACGGAAAGCCGCAGUGAAUAGGCCCAAGCGACUGUUUAGCAAAAACACAGCUCUCUGCGAAGCCGUAAGGCGAAGUAUAGGGGGUGACACCUGCCCGGUGCUGGAAGGUUAAGGAGAGGGGUUAGCGUAAGCGAAGCUCUGAACUGAAGCCCCAGUAAACGGCGGCCGUAACUAUAACGGUCCUAAGGUAGCGAAAUUCCUUGUCGGGUAAGUUCCGACCCGCACGAAAGGUGUAACGAUUUGGGCACUGUCUCAACCAGAGACUCGGUGAAAUUAUAGUACCUGUGAAGAUGCAGGUUACCCGCGACAGGACGGAAAGACCCCGUGGAGCUUUACUGUAGCCUGAUAUUGAAUUUUGGUACAGUUUGUACAGGAUAGGCGGGAGCCAUUGAAACCGGAGCGCUAGCUUCGGUGGAGGCGCUGGUGGGAUACCGCCCUGACUGUAUUGAAAUUCUAACCUACGGGUCUUAUCGACCCGGGAGACAGUGUCAGGUGGGCAGUUUGACUGGGGCGGUCGCCUCCUAAAGUGUAACGGAGGCGCCCAAAGGUUCCCUCAGAAUGGUUGGAAAUCAUUCGUAGAGUGCAAAGGCAUAAGGGAGCUUGACUGCGAGACCUACAAGUCGAGCAGGGACGAAAGUCGGGCUUAGUGAUCCGGUGGUUCCGCAUGGAAGGGCCAUCGCUCAACGGAUAAAAGCUACCCCGGGGAUAACAGGCUUAUCUCCCCCAAGAGUCCACAUCGACGGGGAGGUUUGGCACCUCGAUGUCGGCUCAUCGCAUCCUGGGGCUGUAGUCGGUCCCAAGGGUUGGGCUGUUCGCCCAUUAAAGCGGUACGCGAGCUGGGUUCAGAACGUCGUGAGACAGUUCGGUCCCUAUCCGUCGUGGGCGUAGGAAAUUUGAGAGGAGCUGUCCUUAGUACGAGAGGACCGGGAUGGACGCACCGCUGGUGUACCAGUUGUUCUGCCAAGGGCAUAGCUGGGUAGCUAUGUGCGGAAGGGAUAAGUGCUGAAAGCAUCUAAGCAUGAAGCCCCCCUCAAGAUGAGAUUUCCCAUAGCGUAAGCUAGUAAGAUCCCUGAAAGAUGAUCAGGUUGAUAGGUUCGAGGUGGAAGCAUGGUGACAUGUGGAGCUGACGAAUACUAAUAGAUCGAGGACUUAACCAU